rnacentral:rRNA from 1 species
GAACCGUCCAAACGUUAUUCGGGUAUCACUGGGCUUAAAGCGUGCGUAGGCGGCUUGGGUAGGCGAGAUGUGAAAUCCCACGGGCUCAACCGUGGAACCGCGUUUCGAACCCCCUAGCUUGAGGAAGAUAGGGGUGAUGGGAACUUAUGGUGGAGCGGUGAAAUGCGUUGAUAUCAUAGGGAACACCGGUGGCGAAAGCGCAUCACUGGAUCUUUUCUGACGCUGAGGCACGAAAGCUAGGGUAGCGAACGGGAUUAGAUACCCCGGUAGUCCUAGCCGUAAACGAUGAGCACUGGGUUGAGGGAACUAUCACAUUCUCUCGGCCGUAGCGAAAGCGUUAAGUGCUCCGCCUGGGGAGUAUGGUCGCAAAGGCUG